ACCUUUUGCUAGGGGUGCCUUUGGCUGAGAUGAAGUUAAACUUUAGACCCUUAUUACUUGAACCGGAUAAUACCGGCGUAAGGAAGCGAACAGAUACUCCU
rnacentral:ncRNA from 2 species